GUGUUGAGGAAGAUAAUGACGGUACUCAACAAGGAAGUGACGGCUAACUACGUGCCAGCAGCCGCGGUAAAACGUAGGUCACAAGCGUUGUCCGGAAUUACUGGGUGUAAAGGGAGCGCAGGCGGGAAGGCAAGUUGGAAGUGAAAUCCAUGGGCUCAACCCAUGAACUGCUUUCAAAACUGUUUUUCUUGAGUAGUGCAGAGGUAGGCGGAAUUCCCGGUGUAGCGGUGGAAUGCGUAGAUAUCGGGAGGAACACCAGUGGCGAAGGCGGCCUACUGGGCACCAACUGACGCUGAGGCUCGAAAGUGUGGGUAGCAAACAGGAUUAGAUACCCUGGUAGUCCACACUGUAAACGAUGAUUACUAGGUGUUGGAGGAUUGACCCCUUCAGUGCCGCAGUUAACACAAUAAGUAAUCCACCUGGGGAGUACGACCGCAAGGUUGAAACUCAAAGGAAUUGACGGGGGCCCGCACAAGCAGUGGAGUAUGUGGUUUAAUUCGACGCAACGCGAAGAACCUUACCAAGUCUUGACAUCCUGCGACGGUGCUGGAAACAGUACUUUCCUUCGGGACGCAGAGACAGGUGGUGCAUGGUUGUCGUCAGCUCGUGUCGUGAGAUGUUGGGUUAAGUCCCGCAACGAGCGCAACCCUUAUGGUCAGUUACUACGCAAGAGGACUCUGGCCAGACUGCGUUGGAACAAA
rnacentral:rRNA from 1 species